rnacentral:rRNA from 1 species
CUCCCUCGUUGCUGAUCUCAGGUUCGAUAAUGCCAGUAUCGCACCACCUCGCCUAAAACCAACUUCGAUGAAGCGACGGGCGGUGUGUG